CUGCCGAAGUGGAGCAUGCAACCUCUAUGCCACCAGGUUGGCCCCUCACUUUCCUCUUUUCUUAAUGCCACCACCUAGCCUCUGAACAAUCCAACUCAAAACACAUUCUUUUAUCUAAUUGUAUUAUAUGUUAAUCUUAUCUCCCAACUAGAUUGUAAGCACUUGAGAUCAGUCACCAUGCUAAUGCUUUUUCUGUCUACCCUUUAGCAGCUGGCACAGGGGUGGGUACAUAGUAGGAACUCAAUUUUGACUGGCUUUGACUGGCUUUGGACAUACGCAUGCCAGCUGAGCUAAAAUACUCUCUACUUUUUACCAUUGAGCUUCUUGGCUGGGAUGUCUUAUUAUGAAUGAAAACUAUAGACUUAUUCCACUAGAAAUAGAGAAGCUCUAAUGAGACAGGGAAAGCUGUUUGUUUUUCAGGCAUCUAGGAUGCAAGGCAUGGGCAUUCCUUAAUCAAGUGGAGAUCAUUUGACUAAGGCGCCAGUUGCAAAGCUAUUCUGAACCCCACAUUUCCAAAGAUAUCAGGGACAGUUUGUUGUGCUGGGCUGCUAAUAAUUACCAUGUUCUGGCUGCUUAAGAACUAGAAUAUAGUCUCUGUGUUUCUGUAGAGUUCAAGAGCCUCGGGAGGGCAUCUACACCAGCCCACUGCCUUCAGCAUCAAUGGGAACUCAUUUGACAUUUAAUACAAAUCUCAGAGGAGGAUUUGACUCCCUAUGAGUGCAUUUCCCAAAGCCAUACACUUGCUGCUUGUAUUAUUAUCCCAGGCCCUUGAAGUCUUUCAUACCUCUGAACCAGUCUGGAGGCUUGGAAACAGAUGACACGUGGAAGCUUCUGAUUGAAAGAUGUGCGACCUAGGGCUUCUUCCAUUCGUAAGGCCAGAGUUGAAGGAAGCUAACCUUCAAUCUCCAACCAGGCUGAGAGCACCAAUUGGGCUCAAGAGCAAAUUGUAUUGGAAAAGCAGCAGAAGCACUGAAAUGAAUUGUCAUGAAAUGAGGCUUCAAAUGAAAGCACAAGGCAGAGCCUGGUCCUAAUUGGCAGUGGAGUUACUCAGGUAAGAGGCCAAUUCCAAAUGUCCCGUUGCCGAACUUUUGGAACAUGCGUGCCCCCUCCCCCAGUCACCUCCUGCCGUCCACAUACAGCCUUUGGAAGAUGACCAUUGGGUAAACGUAACACUGAGUUAUUUCACAUUUCUUUCAAAUCUCUAAUCCAUAAACUAUGUGAAGACACAGAAAAUGUCUGAAUCAUGUUAUAAUUUGAAAUGUUCCCUGUGGUAGGGUGAAUAAUGAUACCCCAAAUAUUUCUACAUCCUAACGCCUGGAAACUGUGAAGCUGUUACCUGAUAUGCA